rnacentral:RNase_P_RNA from 1 species
GGAGUAGAACAGAUGAUCGCUGGUCCGAUGCGCGGGGACAUGAUAUAGGAUUGCGUAGCAAUUCGUUUCGUGUCCCCGGAAGUUGGAUUGGAGGAAAGUCCGAGCUCCACAGGGCAGGAUGGUCGCUAACGGCGACUGGGGGCGACCCUAAGGAAAGUGCCACAGAAAAUAUACCGCCUGCUUACGGCAGGUAAGGGUGAAAAGGCGAGGUAAGAGCUCACCAGUUUCCCGGGUGACCGGGAAAGCUUGGCAAACCCCAUCCGGAGCAAGACCAAAUAGGGGAACAUUAAGGGCGGCCCGCCCGACGUUCCCGGGUAGCGUCGCUUGAGGCAACAGGCAACUGUUGUCCCAGAGGAAUGAUCAUCAGCGCCUUUCGGGUGACCGGAGGCGACACAGAACUCGGCUUAUGAUCUGCUCCGACG